GAAAUGCGAUAAGUAGUGUGAAUUGCAGAAUUCAGUGAAUCAUCGAAUCUUUGAACGCACAUUGCGCCCCUUGGUAUUCCAUGGGGCAUGCCUGUUCGAGCGUCAUUUGUACCUUCAAGCUCUGCUUGGUGUUGGGUGUUUUGUCUCGCCUCUGCGUGUAGACUCGCCUUAAAACAAUUGGCAGCCGGCGUAUUGAUUUCGGAUCAGGUAGGAAUACCCGCUGAACUUAA
rnacentral:misc_RNA from 1 species